AGAAUCUGCAGACAUAAUCAGUGGUAAACCAACAAAACAAACAUCAGUAUCAGGACUAUAAAUCAAAAUAUUCAAACAAGGAGAUGCGGAGGCAUGCAACCAUACUCUGCUGUCACUUUCUUCAUGAUUGCCAUUAGCCUUUGAAUACUCAAAUAUUUCUCCUUCUAGAACACAGAUGGCCUUGUCCUUGUUGUUACCUUCAAAACCCC
rnacentral:lncRNA from 1 species